CCUCCUUUUCAUGGUGGAGACGAGCAUGCAGUCUUGGUCCCCGUAGGAUGCGGAGGCAGAGGGAAAGGGCUCAGGCCCGCUUGGCAUCACGUCUUCGGUACUGGCGGCUUCCAGCCUGCCAGUUCUAUCAUCAAGCCUCAGGUCAUAG
ensembl:snoRNA